AUGAUGGCGGUGAAGUUGUUGGUGAAGAUUGUGGUGAUGAUGAUGGCCCCCGGUGGCACUCCGGUGCCACCAGAAGCGAGGGGGAGAGAGCCCCCCUCCUUCUUCCUCUUCCUUGACCUCCUCCCUAGAUGGGAGAAGGGUUUCCCCUCUGGUCCUUGGUCUCCAUGGCGUGGGAGGGAUGAGAGCCCCUCCGAGAUUGGAUCUGUCUCUUUGUCUCUCUCUGUUUCUGCGUUCUCUGAUUCUACCCUUUCACCGUUUCUUAUAUUCCCGGAGAUCCUUAACUCCGAUUGGGCUGAAAUUUUAACAUGA
rnacentral:rRNA from 1 species